GCAGUAAUAGUUUAACUAAAACAUUGGUCUUGUAAGUCAAAAAUGAACUAGAUGUUCUUACUGUU
rnacentral:tRNA from 1 species